GCUCAGAUGGUCGAGCUGGUUAAGACGUGAGAUUUAAGUCCUCAUUGCGAAAGCAAUCGUGGGUUCGAGUCCCACUCUGAGCA
rnacentral:tRNA from 2 species